GGCAGGUAUGGCCUGCCUGCCUGAACGGCCUGCCAGUGACACUGAGGCAGGCAGACAGUUGCAAGAAGACCAAAUUCUGCUGCUGAUGUCACCCUGAAGCUUCACUGGAUCAGCAAUCAUGGCGUUUAAACCUCGUCCACCCAAUGAAGAUACGACUCUGACUUAUGUCAGCACUGUAACCACCAAGGAGCUGAAUACUUACACGACGGAGUAUGCUGAUGGUUGUGAGUCUGAUGAGUAUGAAGGCGAGGAAGAUGUGGAAUCACCAGAACAUAGACCUGAGCGCAAAUCAUUUGCAAACAAGCUAAGCUCUGCUGUGAAAAACUUCUCUCUUCCUUCACCUGAAGAAAUAAAGAACAGCACCUUCUACAAAAGCUUCCAGCAACCAUUGAUUGUGAAAUCUAAGGUUCAGUCUACUCAUGUUCAGCAAACUAACCAAGCUGUUACCAUGGGCAAAACUCCUGCAGAGCUCAGUAGAAUUUCCAAACUAUCUGAUUUUCCACUGCCAAGCUUCAAGAAACAUCAUGAAGAUAAAAUGGAAAAUUCAGUGGCAGUCAUGGAAGCAACCAGCAAUGGUGAUUUGGCAUCUGAGAGCAUAUAUGGUACCCUAACAAGAUCACUGCGGGAAACCAAACUGAUUACUGCUGUGGUAGAAACUGAUGCCGAUGAUGAAACUCUUGUCAAGAGGAUGGAAUUAACUAAGACCAUGAGUCCUGCUCAGCUGUCUCAAAUAAAUUCUAUCACAGAAUUCCCAAUUCCUGACAAAUUUAAGCUUAAAAAUCUUCAAGCUAAGCCUGCUGAAAAUGGGCACUCUGCCAAGGAAAAUGGAAAGAAUAAAGAAUGUAACGAAGAUCAUGAAUCUAAUGAAAAGCAUGGGCAUUUUCUAUUGCCUGAAAGUUUCAUGGAAACCAAGCUCAUUACCAAUAUAAAAGAAUGCCAUGAUUAUGAUACCCUACGAAAAAGACAAGAAAUUGUUAAAACCAAAACCCCUAAAGAGUUGUCUUCAAUUUCUGGCCUUGGGGAUUUACCGAUUCCCUCAAAGAUUGAGAAAUUGAUGAAGAAGGGAGGAGGUUCUACUCCUAGUGGGUUGAAUGUCAAAUCCCUGAAAGACCAAGAAUUUGAAUUUUCAGUCCCAGCCUCACUUAAAAUUAACCUUGCAGUUACAUCAAAGGUUGAAGAUGAAGAAGUAGUUAAACUUCACAAGGAACUUCUUGAGUCCAAGACAAUUGCAGAAUUAAGCCAAAUAAGUUCAUUCAAUGAUUUUCCCAUUCCAGAAAUGAUUGAAAAUCUAAUGAAAAAGAAAGAUGACACUGAAAAAAUUAAAUCUAGUAGCCUAAGUUUGUCAAGGAUAACAAGCGGAAAAAUAUUACCAGAAUCUCUGACAGAAACCAAAUUAAUAACAAACAUAAAAGUUGAAAAAGACCAAGAAAGGCUGCAGUCCCGUCAAAAUCUAGUAAAGAACCAUACCCCAGCAGAACUUGGAAGCAUAAAAAAUAUGAGCGACUUCCCUAUUCCAUCAAGGCUGCAGCAUUUGACACUUCCAAAGUUCAAGGGAAGUACAGCAAAAUCACUGAAUGACAUUGAACAAUCAGAAUCACCUGCAGUUCCUCCAAGACAAAAAUCAUGCAAAGAUAGCAUUUAUGAAUCUUUGCCUAGCUCAUUAAGAAAUGAAGUAAUUGUAAGAUCCAGAGUAAUCACAGAUGAAGAAUCAAAACUUCGACAAGAGCUUAUCAGGUCAAAAUCACCUGUGGAGCUCUCACAAAUGAGCAGUCUGAAGGACUUCCCAGUACCACGAACAAUUGAAAAGCUUUUUGAAAAUGAAAAUCAAGAAGAACAUAAUGAUGAAGAUGGCAAUAACAGUUUCCUCCAGAAAUUCUCAACCUUGCCACCAUCAUUAAAAACAAACCUUCUUGUUGGAGUGAAAACUGAAGAUCAAACCUUAGCUCAUGAACGAUCUGAAACAAUUAAAUCUAAAUCUGUGAGUGAACUCUCAGAAAUUAAAUCAGUUUCUGAUAUCCCUGUACCCAGCACACUUACCCGCCUAGCAAAACGAGACUAUGCCUCGGCUGUUGAAAGAAAGAAACUUUUUAAACAGCAAAUGAAAAGCCAGUCAACACAAUCCCUUUCUCUUCAGGGCACAUUGCCAAGGUCUCUCCGGGAAAAACAACUACUUGUCACAUCAAAAUUUGAGGAUCCAGAUGUUUUGUUCUCCAGAAGAUCUCUAGUUGAAAGUAAAAGUGUUGCCGAACUCUCUAAGGUUUCUUCAUUUGGAGAUUUCCCUGUCCCUGGAUUUUUAAGCAAACUUUCAUCUAAAAGCCUGGGAAAACUUGAUUUUAUGUCAAACGGCCACCUGCAAGAUCCUGAAGAACAAAACUCUAAUUCCAAAACAGGAUUUUAUUCCACUCUCCCGAAAUCUCUAAACUGUGAACUCCUAGUCAGUAAAAGUGUGCAAGAUGUAAGUAUUCUGGAACACCGGAUGCAACUGAUCAAUGAAAAAAGUACAAAGGAACUGGCACAAAUGGCAUCUGUCAAAGAUUUUCCAGUUCCUGAUGUGAUUCAGCGCUGGUAUCACAAAUCUAUGGAUAGACUUCAUGGAGUUAAGGAUGAAGAGGGUCUGACAAAUGGUGUAUCUACACCAAAUUUGAAACUACCCAGCAUGCUGACCCAACCUUGCAUUGUCACCACUAAGAUUGAGGACCCCCAAGUCCUCAUGGAGAGACAGCAAAUACAGCAACAAAAGAGCAUUCAUGAGCUCUCAAAAAUCAGAAAUCUCAAUGAAUUACCAAUCCCAGGAAAUAUCAUUACUCUACCAAAUGUACCAUUACCAAGGAUGAAAGAUAUUCUCCAGUUGGUUGCAAGAACACCAAGGAAGAAGUCUUCCCCAUCUUUGCCAAACAGUCUUCAAGUUUCUCCCCCUGAAAGUGUUAGACCUUAUGAGUCUAGCAUAAUGGACGAGGAAGAAUACUCAAAUAUUGAAGACAGCUAUGAAGUUAUAAAUAAAGAAAAGACAGAAUCACCCCAAAUAGAUGUUGAUCCUGAAGACUUUGGCCUAGCCUCUCAAGUCAAAGGAACACCUGAAAGAAACACAAGAAACAAGAAAAAGAAACCCGAAUCUAGAAAUAGAAGAAGUAACGAAGAAAAGGAAGAAAGUGCCACAGAGAUGUUUGAAACUCCCCCACCUCUACCCCCAAAGAGAAGUCCACAGAAGUCUGUGUCUGUUGAGUCUCAACAAUCUGAAGAAGUAGACGGAUCCCCUUCUCCCAUCAAGGGCGUCCUUACUCUUGAAGCCAUGAAUGGAAACAUUCAGGUUAGGAGCGCGCUCACGCUCCCGUAGCAGUAGCAGACCACGCUCUAGACCCCACAGCAUUCAUAAAUAGAUAGUGAGGAAUGUAAGGGUAGACAGACAUUGAAAACCCCGAACCUGCGAUUUUUGUGGAUUCAUUUUUAUUUUGGAAAAAAA
rnacentral:misc_RNA from 1 species